rnacentral:rRNA from 1 species
CGCUGACAGAAUGCUUAACACAUGCACGUCUACUUGAAUUUGGGUCUUUUAACUUAGAUUUGGGUGGCGGACGGGUGAUUAACGCGUAAAGAACUUGCCUCACAGCUCGGGACAACAUUUGGAAACGAAUGCUAAUACCUGAUAUUAUGAUUUUAAGGCAUCUUAUAAUUAUGAAAGCUAUAUGCGCUGUGAGAGAGCUUUGCGUCCCAUUAGCUAGUUGGAGAGGUAACGGCUCACCAAGGCGAUGAUGGGUAGCCGGCCUGAGAGGGUGAACGGCCACAAGGGGACUGAGACACGGCCCUUACUCCUACGGGAGGCAGCAGUGGGGAAUAUUGGACAAUGGACCAAGAGUCUGAUCCAGCAAUUCUGUGUGCACGAUGACGUUUUUCGGAAUGUAAAGUGCUUUCAGUUGGGAAGAAAAAAAUGACGGUACCAACAGAAGAAGUGACGGCUAAAUACGUGCCAGCAGCCGCGGUAAUACGUAUGUCACAAGCGUUAUCCGGAUUUAU